AUAUAUUUUAUUGUAAAAAAAGCGUGGGGUGCUUUUUAAGAUAUUAUUGAAAUACACAAACCACAUAUAAUAUGCUUACCUGCUUCAUUCGUUUCCAAAACAUAAUUUAUGUAUAAUAGAAUGUUGCCAGCCAAAGGAUAAUUCAAAAUAGGUAGUUUAACUCUUUCCUGACUAAAACAUUUAAAUGUGACAUUGACAAAACUUGUUUAACAGUUUAGAUAGUAAGAAGGAAAAAAAACUAGUUAUUUGAGAUUUUAACUAUCUAUAUUGUAAUCUAUAUAUUAAUACGUGAAGCAAAAACUUUGUAUCCCUUUUUACGAAAAUUGCGCGGAUGGAGGAGUAUGAAAUUUUCCACACUUAUAGAGAAUAUAGAGAAGAAGUGCACAAUGCUAAUAUUUUUUUUAAAUAAUACUUAUAAGAUACAUUAAAUCAAUAAAGAAAACAUUACACACACUACAUACCAUGUAUUUGACGCACACACGCAUGCAUACUAUUUAUUGUCAAACUUUUGUUCUUGACAUCUGUUGUCAAAUUGAGAAUAGAAAGAAUAUGGUAAAUAAGCGGUGGGAAGCUAUGACUGGUUUCGUUUCAAUAUAAAGCGACACAAGAGAAUGAAAAACAUAGUAUUCGUAAUAAGAACGGGAAUGAAAAACAUAGUAUUACGGAGAUGUAAUAAUUCAACAAAACUAUAAUAAAAUGGAGAUUAUCUAAUAUUUAAUGAUUUGAGAGUAUUUUUAGAUAUCGAUCACUUACUCAUUUAUUGUGUGUUAGAUCGCAUCAAUUAUUACUACAGUCUUAUAUACAAUUCACCACGUAUCAAUCCUGCCUCUCAGCUUAAACAGUAUUUAUGUACAUACAUAAUAUAUCUGACGGCUUGUUUGAAUGCAAUGAAGACUGAGUGGACAGCGAAAUUUACUCCUACUCAAACGGUAACGUUCAAGAUUAAUUACACCCCAUUAUGAAUUUUUUCUUUAAUUGUAUUAUGUAUUAAAGAAAAAAAUUCUAAACUAAA